GAUGAACGUUGGCGGUGUGCCUAAUACAUGCAAGUCGAACGGAGACUGUAGCAAUACUGUCUUAGUGGCGAACGGGUGAGUAACGCGUUGGUGAUCUGCCUCGAAGUGUGGAAUAACCUCCCGAAAGGGAAGCUAAUACCGCAUGGUCUCUCAAGGUUUAGAAAAUUGAGAGUAAAGGAUUUAUUCGNUUCGAGAGGAGCCUGCGUCCCAUCAGCUAGUUGGUAGGGUAACGGCCUACCAAGGCAAUGACGGGUAGGGGACCUGAGAGGGUGGCCCCCCACAAUGGAACUGAAACACGGUCCAUACACCUACGGGUGGCAGCAGUAGGGAAUAUUAGAAAUGGGCGGAAGCCUGAUCUAGCAACACCGCGUGUGCGAUGAAGNCCUUCGGGUCGUAAAGCACUUUUUGGAGGGAAUAGGAAGGAAGGUACCUCCAGAAUAAGUCUCGGCUAACUACGUGCCAGCAGCCGCGGUAACACGUAGGAGGCAAACGUUAUCCGGAUUCACUGGGCGUAAAGCGCGUGCAGGUGGUUUCGUAAGUAGGGCGUGAAAGCUCCCCGGCUCAACUGGGAGAGGCCGUACUAAACUGCGGAGCUAGAGGAUGGUAGAGGGAGGUGGAAUUCCAGGUGUAGUGGUGAAAUGCGCAGAUAUCUGGAGGAACACCAGUGGCGAAGGCGGCCUCCUGGACCAUACCUGACACUCAGACGCGAAAGCUAGGGUAGCAAACGGAAUUAGAGACUCCGGUAGUCCUAGCCCUAAACGAUGCAGACUAGGCGUCGGCGGUUUAAUCACCGUCGGUGUCCAAGCUAACGCGAUAAGUCUGCCGCCUGAGGACUACGGCCGCAAGGCUAAAACUCAAAGGAAUUGACGGGUCCCCGCACAAGCAGCGGAGCGUGUGGUUUAAUUCGAUGCUCCGCGAAGAACCUUACCUGGGUUUGACAUAACAGUGGUAGAGAAGUGAAAACGGACCGACCCUUCGGGGAGCUGUUACAGGUGUUGCAUGGCUGUCGUCAGCUCGUGUCGUGAGAUGUUCGGUUAAGUCCGCUAACGAGCGCAACCCGCGCUGUGUGUUACAAGUGUCACACAGUACCGCCGGUAUUAAGUCGGAGGAAGGUGCGGAUGACGUCAAGUCAGCAUGACCUUUAUAUCCAGGGCUACACACACGCUACAAUGGUCAGCACAAUAGGUUGCCAAGCCGCAAGGCGGAGCCAAUCCUCCAAAGCUGGCCUCAGUUCAGAUUGCAGGCUGCAACUCGCCUGCAUGAAGUCGGAGUUGCUAGUAACCGCAGGUCAGCAUACUGCGGUGAAUACGUUCCCGGGGAU
rnacentral:rRNA from 1 species